rnacentral:rRNA from 2 species
CAUGCCGCGUGAGUGAGAAGGGUUUCGGCUCGUAAAACUCUGUUGUUAAAGAAGAACACCUUUGAGAGUAACUGUUCAAGGGUUGACGGUAUUUAACCAGAAAGCCACGGCUAACUACGUGCCAGCAGCCGCGGUAAUACGUAGGUGGCAAGCGUUGUCCGGAUUUAUUGGGCGUAAAGCGAGCGCAGGCGGUUUUUUAAGUCUGAUGUGAAAGCCUUCGGCUUAACCGGAGAAGUGCAUCGGAAACUGGGAGACUUGAGUGCAGAAGAGGACAGUGGAACUCCAUGUGUAGCGGUGGAAUA